UUUUGACACUUUAUUAAUGAGGAAACGGAAAUCUGAUUUACGGAGAGGUGCAGGGGAUAUGGGAUUCGUAACAAACUCUAGUAAUGAGUUGGACAGAGCCUCGAGAAUAUGUGAUUCGGCAGAAGUUCCCUUAUCGUUCUACCAAAAAAAGAAACAUUUCUUUAUUUCUUUGCAUGUCUGACUAGACAUCACAGGAUUAGCUCUAAUAAAGAAAUAUUGGGGGAACAAGGAUUCAUAGAGCUGUCCAAGUAACUGAGAACAUCCCCAUUGGUUUUGAUUAGUAUUUAGAUUUCAGUUGCCUUGUAAUUGAUGCUUAUUAGGAUUCGGUCUAUGGCUAGUCUAUCUUGAUCUCAGUUAUUUCUUCCAGAUAUUAUGUAAGAUAAUUUUGAUAUAUAGUUUAUAUUUUGAUACUAGCACUCAAACCCUGCACUGCAGAAAUUUAAUUGGUAAUAAUGAUAACAUUUUAUAUUAAAAGUUGUUUUCACCAAUUAAGCCCAUGAUGAAAUCAAAAGGAUCUCUGAAAGUUUUUCUUUUAAAAGAUAGUCUCCCAAACUCGUGAAUAUUACUGCAUUUGGUAUUAUUUGUUAUCAUACUAUUUAUAUUUAUAUUUUUAUUUAAAAAAUAAAAAAUAAAAUUUGACAUGUGGUAUUGCGGAAGAUUAUUCUAUAAUCAUACAUG
rnacentral:lncRNA from 1 species